rnacentral:rRNA from 1 species
UAGGGAAUCUUCGGCAAUGGGGGGAACCCUGACCGAGCAACGCCGCGUGAGUGAAGAAGGUUUUCGGAUCGUAAAGCUCUGUUGUUAAGGAAGAACGAGUGUGAGAAUGGAAAGUUCAUACUGUGACGGUACUUAACCAGAAAGGGACGGCUAACUACGUGCCAGCAGCCGCGGUAAUACGUAGGUCCCGAGCGUUGUCCGGAUUUAUUGGGCGUAAAGCGAGCGCAGGCGGUUAGAUAAGUCUGAAGUUAAAGGCAGUGGCUCAACCAUUGUAGGCUUUGGAAACUGUUUAACUUGAGUGCAGGAGGGGAAAGUGGAAUUCCAUGUGUAGCGGUGAAAUGCGUAGAUAUAUGGAGGAACACCGGUGGCGAAAGCGGCUCUCUGGUCUGUAACUGACGCUGAGGCUCGAAAGCGUGGGGAGCGAACAGG